AGUAAUGAGUUUGUUGGGUUUCUCUGCAAAAAUGUUAGGGUUGUUGGAAAAAAUUCAUCAAUCUCAGUAUCGUCUUCGUCCAGAUGCAUCUUAAGCAUUACAAGUGCAACAAAUCAACACUCGUUAACUGUUUCUUACCUCAUAAAUUCAUGUGGGUUCUCUCCUAAAUCUGCUCUUAUUGUUUCCAAGAAUGUCUGUUUUGAAACCCUGACUCGGUUCUUUCCUUGCUCAAAAAUCAUGGUUUCUCACAAACCCAAAUCUUAAAUAUUGUCAAAUCACAUGCUAAACUCCUUAUCUGCAAUCCUGAGGAUGCCCUCUUUCCCAAAUUGGAUUUCUUCAACUCCAUAGGACUUUCUUGCUCUGAUAUUGCAAAACACCCUUUGCUUUUGGUCAGAGGCUUAAAAAACCACAUUAUCCCAACUUUUAGUUUCUUGAAAGGGAUAUGGCAAGUAGGGCCAACCUUUGGCGUGAGAAUGGAGUGUUAGAAUCGAAUAUCGUUAAAUUGGUUUAUUACUGUCCUAGGGUGUUCUCAAUGAAUUUGAUAAAGUCAAAAACCUUGUAGAGGAAGCGAGGGAUAUGGGGUUUGAACCUUCUAAGCGUAUAUUUGUUGCUGGAAUGAGUUCACUCAUGUCAAUGAGCAAAUCGACAUGGGAAAAAAAGGUUGAUGCUUAUAAAAGUUGGGACUUGUCUGAGGCAGAUAUUCUUACUGCAUUAGAAAAGAUUCAUGGAAACAUCUUAGGAUAAAAUUACGGCUGUAAUGGAUCUUUUUGUUAACAAGUUGGAUUGGGAGUCUUCAGUGCUUAUGGCAUUUAGCUUGGAGAAGAGACUCAUUUCCUGGGCUACGGUUUUGGAAUUUCUAGUAUUGAAAGGUUUGGUUAAGAAAAAUUGCAGAAGCGCUACAUUUUUUGUGUGUCCUGAAACAACAUUCUUGAGGAGGUUUGUGCAUCAUUUCGAUGAAGCUUCUGAACUAUUGAAGCUGUAUCCCAUUUUGAAUCGUUUUUGUUUUGCACAUUGUAUUGGUUGAUUUUAUUGCGUACUUUUUCAGGAAAUCACUCUGUUCUUUCUGCUUAACCGUGUUUGAGUACUGUGUAUAACCUUGGGGUUAUAAGCAUCUGUAGCAUAUCUUUCUUCAUCGCAUCUUGAACCUUGGAAUUAGAUAAUGUUUAUGUUUGACCAUCUGCCAAAGUAAGAUGCCUGCACUUGCUUUGUUUUGUAUGUAAAUUAUGCAUCUAUUAGUCUUCGGAUACAAAAGAAUGUUCGACAGAUCUGUAGUUGAAA